GGUGCUCCAUGCCCAGAUCCUAGAGAAAGACGCAGUGAUCAAGGUCCUUCAACAGCGUUCCAGGAAAGACCCUGGCAAGGCUACCCAGGGCACCCUACGGCCCGCCAAGUCGGUGCCGUCCAUCUUUGCAGCUGCAGUGGGGACUCAGGGCUGGCAAGGGUUCUCAACCAGCGAGCGACAAACUGAUGCACCUGCCCGACAGACAGUAGGUAUGAAGAGGCUUGCAGUGGGGUGGAAAGGUGUACAAAGUUUGGAAUGCAUAUUACCAGACUCUUUCUCAGAAUACACACCCACUGAGACCAGGGCUUCCUGACCCCUCUUUUAGGGGACCUGGCUUAUUCUUUGGCUCUCAUGACCCUGAAACCUCCUGUUAGUAGAGUGGAUGCUAGACCGCCAGCUGCUUGCUAAUAGAUCUAGUCAAGGUUCUACGGUUCCUGAGUGAAUACUAAGAAAUUCUAGAUUUCAGCCACAAGCAUCAAUGCCUAAUGUGACCCCACCUAUUCCCAUUUUCUAUCCAUUAGACAUCUUGAAAAUUAAGAGCUACCCAGUCCACAGGGUUUGCUUGGGGUGUCCUUCAUCAAGACCUUGUCUCCUACCUCAAGCAGUAUCCAUCAGUGUCCAUUCUUUCUUACAGACCGUGGACCAGCAGAAGAGCCCCCGGCCACACCUCCUCUCCCUGCCCACACCAAACAUGGCAGCAGAGACGGGAGCACCCAAACUGAUGGCCCUGCAGACAGCACCUCUGCCUGCUUGGCCU
rnacentral:lncRNA from 1 species